ACUAUCUGCAACAAAGUCCAUGCGCUCGAUGCCAGACGACACUGCCUCAAGCCAGAGCGCCUUGGCCAGCUAGGAAGCGAUAACUGUUAGCUACUCAGAACCAACGUUUUCAACAAUAUUCGUACCUACUGCACAGCAAUGAUCAUCCCUGUUCGUUGUUUUACGUGCGGUAAAAUUGUAGGGAAUAAAUGGGAGGCGUACCUCGGUCUUCUCCAAGCAGAGUACACUGAAGGCGACGCCCUUGAUGCUCUGGGUCUGAAGAGAUACUGCUGCCGGAGGAUGCUUCUCGCCCAUGUUGAUCUCAUUGAGAAGCUGUUGAAUUAUGCUCCGUUGGAGAAAUGAUAAUUUACAGAAAACGAAUGUAUUCCGUUUUAUGAAUUUAUGACCAAGCCAAACCUAAUUUCUUUAAGAAAUCAAUCCCAGAACCCUCAUGCUUGGAUGGAUAUUAAGGCAACUAGAUCAUCAAAUCAGUACUCCAUUUGUAUUAUUUUCAAAAUAAACGUUGACAAAUGUGA